ACUUAGUUGCUAACAGUUCGGCUGAGCACUCUAGGGAGACUGCCUUCGCAAGGAGGAGGAAGGUGAGGACGACGUCAAGUCAUCAUGGCCCUUACGGCCAGGGCUACACACGUGCUACAAUGGGGCGUACAGAGAGCUGCGAUACCGCGAGGUGGAGCCAAUCUCUUAAAGCGUCUCUCAGUUCGGAUUGUUCUCUGCAACUCGAGAACAUGAAGCUGGAAUCACUAGUAAUCGCAGAUCAGCUAUGCUGCGGUGAAUACGUUCCCGGGUCUU
rnacentral:rRNA from 1 species